CUACGUGCCAGCAGCCGCGGUAAUACGUAGGGGGCAAGCGUUAUCCGGAUUCAUUGGGCGUAAAGCGCUCGUAGGCGGUCUGUUAGGUCGGGAGUUAAAUCCGGGGGCUCAACCCCCGUUCGCUCCCGAUACCGGCAGACUUGAGUUUGGUAGGGGAAGGUGGAAUUCCUAGUGUAGCGGUGGAAUGCGCAGAUAUUAGGAAGAACACCAGUGGCGAAGGCGGCCUUCUGGGCCAUAACUGACGCUGAGGAGCGAAAGCUAGGGGAGCAAACAGGAUUAGAUACCCUGGUAGUCCUAGCCGUAAACGAUGGACACUAGGUGUGGGGGAAUAUUUCUUCCGUGCCGCAGCUAACGCAUUAAGUGUCCCGCCUGGGGAGUACGGCCGCAAGGCUAAAACUCAAAGGAAUUGACGGGGGCCCGCACAAGCAGCGGAGCAUGUGGUUUAAUUCGAUGCAACGCGAAGAACCUUACCUACUCUUGACAUCCAGAGAACAUUC
rnacentral:rRNA from 1 species